ensembl:lncRNA
AGGCACCCACAUCUCUUUCUCUCUACUCCCUUUUGUGUACCGUGUGGAAUAACAUACCUUUUACCCCCUCCCACCAUCAUUCCCUCCCUCUCUGUAAAGCGAUCGGGGCCUCUGAUAGUGAUGGUGAUUACAAAACCACAGGAGCAGCCUCCCCACCAAAACAAAGUGUUUUUCAGCUUCUGUUUUUUUCAGGACCUGGCGCCACCCGGAGUACCGUAAACAAUAAACACGGGCCAACGCGAGGCCGUCCUCCACGUUUUUCUCUAGCUGAUUCACUCCAGGGGAACACGCACACAUCAUCACAGGUCAUGACCUGUACCUGUCCGGUAUCACAAGAGACAUCCUAAUUCCUGAAAUACAACUGGUCAGACUGCUGGUGUUUACUGUAAAAGCAGAACCCCCCCCCCCAACUGUCACAAAAGCCCCAUAAUGCUUUUUCAUAGAGGAAUCACUGGGGUUUUUGGUGUGUAAGGAGUUUCCCUCGCAAUGCAAAGUUCCCUGAAACACCUGCGUUUGCACUUUAGACAUAGUCAAUUUCACUUAAACUUCCUGGAUGGACUUAUUCCAACAGAUACUGUCAGUUAGUUGAUAGUGUAGUAUAGCCAGCAUGCUACAUAUCUUCACACCACGUAUUUCCUCCUAGGAUUUCCCGACUUUUAAGCAUAUUAAUCUUUGAAACAAUCAGCCAGUUUAUCAAUAAAGAAUACAUAAAUGUAAAUUUCAAAUAAAUAAAUAAAUGUUUCUUAUGUCUGUGUUUUUGCUAACAUGGUGAUUUGUUAAUGUUCUCUUCAUACAUAGAUUUAUUCAAAUGUUUCUAUGUACAAACUAACUAAAAUGCUC